CUUCGAGGACUGGCGGGGGCGGGGGCGGAGGAGGGCGGCACCCGGCUUCCCGGGAAGCCGCAGGUGAGGCCCCGCCGGUGUGCGGCGGCGCCCCGGCUAGCCGCUGGCUAGGAGCCCGAGACCGGCGGCCUCCCGCCGGGACGAAGGGGCCAGCGUGGAGACGCGGGUGGACUCAGGUCUCCGGGAGCCGGUCCGGAACCCUGCGGGCCCUCUGCCUUUGCCCCCGAUGUAAGCCAGGAGACAGCCCCCCUGCCCUGCUCGAGCCAGACCGUUGAUGGAGAGCCCCGAUGGGUGAUGUAUGUAGCCCCUGGAAACAGACUAAAGAGCGGCGGCAGGAAAGGAGUUGGUCUCCACAAACCGCCCGAAGUCAAGGAAGAUUUUGGAUAAAUCAUUAUCAAGGAAGCUAAGGACACCUGUGUUGUAUUGAAAGCACACCAGCCAUGAAAUCGGAAGGCCCAAAUUUGAAUUCCAGUUAAUCACAAAUACACACUCCAUCUAAAUUAUCUUUGACAGUCUUGCAUAGCAAGAUAUGAAGGCUCUGCCCCCUACGUUCUCAAAAUUAAGGGAACACGGAAUUCCCAAAGACUGAUGAUGACAUUUGUACUAAGAAGAGCUGUCCAGGAAGAGCUCCCCCAACUUUUCUCCCUGGAGUGAAGAGCCAGCUACUCCAUUGGUUCUGAUCUUCGCAGAUGUUAACAGAUCCUGGGUGAGGAUCAGCAGAGAUGAGUAAUGAUUGGUGUUCUCUUGUUUUUUCUUCUGUUUGCACUUAUGGAAGGGAAGCCUCAUUAAAAUGGAGCCAGGAGGCCAGAAGGGGGAGCUCUCGUGCCCUACCACUCCUUAUCAAAUGCAGAACCAACAGGAAGAGCAGAACCUUCCCAGACCAAAUGAAUACUGCUUUACUAGCCGGCAGAAGAUUUUCUCCUUGCCCGGCAACAGCCCAGGCAAUGAGAAACUGCCACAGCUCUGCCCGUGAAAAGCCACUGCACUUCAAACUCCUAGUUUACUCCAAUGGACUUUUUGUUUAUAAGACCCCCUCCCAGCUCCUCCCUUUCCUCUGUAAAAGAGUGUUCCUCUCUUUUGUUCCCUUGAGUUGCCUGUGGUUUUGACACGACUUGCAUGUCCCAAAUGACAAUUCUUGGCUCUUCCCAA